rnacentral:rRNA from 1 species
GCAAGUCGAGCGAGAAGCCUUCGGGUGGACAGCGGCGCACGGGUGAGGAACACGUAGAUAAUCUAUUCUUUAGCGGAGGCUAACGUUCCGAAAGGAACGCUAAUACUGCAUAACACCACGGCCCUUCGGGGUUUUGGCCAAAGGGGGCUUCUGCUCCCACUUAAGGAUGAGUCUGCGGCCCAUCAGUUAGUUGGUAGGGUAAAGGACUACCAAGGCUAAGACGGGUAGCUGGUCUGAGAGGAUGGAC